CUUCUCNNNNGGNGACCGNGGGGAGGGCUCUUUUUNAAAUNGGGUCUNAGCGUUAANNUGCGGGGGNNAAACCUUUCACNNUUUUUUUUNUUAAUNCUUUCCGNCGGGGCGGGGNUUGGCNNNANAAAUAACUCUAAGAUCUAAUCUUAACUUAACACUAGUCAUGAAAUUUUACNUAAAAUAAAAUAUUCAAAACUUUCAACAACGGAUCUCUUGGUUCUCGCAACGAUGAAGAACGCAGCGAAAUGCGAUACGUAAUAUGAAUUGCAGGUUUUCGUGAAUCAUCGAAUCUUUGAACGCACAUUGCGCCUUUUGGUAUUCCAGAAGGCAUGCCUGUUUGAGCGUCAUUUCUUUCUCAYUGGANCUCGGUUUAGUGGUAUUGAGUGGUACUCUAGUACAGGGUUAGCUUGAAAUAUCAGUAGUGCGAGUGGUCGAAGCGACUUUCUCUCUGGAUAAUGUAUUAGGUUCUGCCAACUCGUUAGCCAGGUGUGAUUGAGCUUCAGCCAAUGCCUCCACUCCUCCUAUCUCAAAGUUGACCUCAAAUCAGUAGA
rnacentral:rRNA from 1 species